GAGUUUGAUCCUGGCUCAGAUUGAACGCUGGCGGCAUGCCUUACACAUGCAAGUCGAACGGCAGCACGGGAGCAAUCCUGGUGGCGAGUGGCGAACGGGUGAGUAAUAUAUCGGAACGUGCCCAGUAGAGGGGGAUAGCCCGGCGAAAGCCGGAUUAAUACCGCAUGAGACCUGAGGGUGAAAGCGGGGGAUCGCAAGACCUCGCGCUACUGGAGCGGCCGAUAUCAGAUUAGCUAGUUGGUGGGGUAAAGGCCUACCAAGGCAACGAUCUGUAGUUGGUCUGAGAGGACGACCAGCCACACUGGGACUGAGACACGGCCCAGACUCCUACGGGAGGCAGCAGUGGGGAAUUUUGGACAAUGGGCGCAAGCCUGAUCCAGCAAUGCCGCGUGCAGGAAGAAGGCCUUCGGGUUGUAAACUGCUUUUGUCAGGGAAGAAAUCCUCUGGGUUAAUACCUCGGGGGGAUGACGGUACCUGAAGAAUAAGCACCGGCUAACUACGUGCCAGCAGCCGCGGUAAUCC
rnacentral:rRNA from 1 species